rnacentral:rRNA from 10 species
GUAUAUGGUCAUGCCACUCUGAAUGCACCUGAUCUUAGCAGCUAAGCAGGUUUAGGCCAGGUUAGUAAAUGGUUUUCAGAAUUCCUGGGAAUACUGGUUGCUAUAGGCU